GUCCACGCCCUAAACGAUGUCAACUGGUUGUUGGGGCCUUUGAGGCUUUAGUGGCGCAGCUAACGCGAUAAGUAGACCGCCUGGGGAGUACGGUCGCAAGACUAAAACUCAAAUGAAUUGACGGGGGCCCGCACAAGCGGUGGAGCAUGUGGUUUAAUUCGAUGCAACGCGAAGAACCUUACCUGGUCUUGACAUAGUAAGAACUUUCCAGAGAUGGAUUGGUGCCUUCGGGAGCUUACAUACAGGUGCUGCAUGGCUGUCGU
rnacentral:rRNA from 1 species